AGUUGUGUUCACAGAUUUGAAAACAAUAUGUCUAAGUUUACAGUAAUUUUGGCUCUCAUUGCGUUGAUCGCUCUUGUGUCAGCGCGUCCACAAGUGGACGUUGUUGACCAAGACCCAGGCUCAGUAAACGUCAUCGGUGGAGAUGAACAAGUAAACAUCGUCAACAGUGAAGACCAAGUAAAUGUGGUAGAUUCCAGUGUCAAUAAUCCCGACCCUCG